rnacentral:rRNA from 1 species
UACGAAGGGGGCUAGCGUUGCUCGGAAUCACUGGGCGUAAAGGGUGCGUAGGCGGGUUUUUAAGUCAGAGGUGAAAUCCUGGAGCUCAACUCCAGAACUGCCUUUGAUACUGAAAGUCUUGAGUAUGGGAGAGGUGAGUGGAACUGCGAGUGUAGAGGUGAAAUUCGUAGAUAUCAAGAGGAACACCUGCGGCAAAGGCGGGUUGCUGGGCCGACACUGACGCUGAGGCGCGAAAGCCAGGGGAGCGAACGGG